AUGUAUACUCCUUUGAUCUCAGAAUGAGCUGAAGAUCAGUGACCCAAGUGUGACAGGGUAAACUCCCAAGAAUGUCCAUUGAGAGCCUCAAACCAUGUGUCUCCUGGGAAGUGACCUGAGCAGAAGAAAGAGCCGAGAUAAAAGAAGGGGAAGAGAAACACAGAAGAGCUCCUCAGAGGACCACAUCAUGGGAACUGAGCCUCCUCAGAGCCUUGCUGCUUCUAAGAUCCAGGGAAUAUCUUGCCUUCCAGCCCAUGGAGGAAGGCCCAGCAAUGACAGAGCCCUAUAAGAAAAGAGUGCCAGGAAUCCCCUGUGAAGAUUCAAAUCUUCUAUCCACCGUCUCUCUCCCAAAAGCAUCUGAUCCACAGAAGGAAGCCAGGUCUCCCAGAGGAUUGCAUCCUGGCUCCACGGAG
rnacentral:lncRNA from 1 species